CACCGGCGGCUCGAGUGGUAACCGCUAUUAUUGGGUCUAAAGGGUCUGUAGCCGGCCGGAUAAGUCUUUUGGGAAAUCCAGCUGCUCAACAGUUGGGCUUUCAGAAGAUACUGUUCGGCUCGAGGCCGGGAGAGGUGAGAGGUACUUCAGGGGUAGGGGUGAAAUCUUGUAAUCCUUGAAGGACCACCAGUGGCGAAGGCGUCUCACCAGAACGGACCUGACGGCAAGGGACGAAAGCUAGGGGCACGAA
rnacentral:rRNA from 1 species